rnacentral:piRNA from 1 species
UGGUGACAAAGGAAUCUUGAACCUCUG